rnacentral:rRNA from 1 species
GACGAACGCUGGCGGCGUGCUUAACACAUGCAAGUCGAACGGAAAGGCCCUGCUUUUGUGGGGUGCUCGAGUGGCGAACGGGUGAGUAACACGUGAGUAACCUGCCCUUGACUUUGGGAUAACUUCAGGAAACUGGGGCUAAUACCGGAUAGGAGCUCCUGCUGCAUGGUGGGGGUUGGAAAGUUUCGGCGGUUGGGGAUGGACUCGCGGCUUAUCAGCUUGUUGGUGGGGUAGUGGCUUACCAAGGCUUUGACGGGUAGCCGGCCUGAGAGGGUGACCGGCCACAUUGGGACUGAGAUACGGCCCAGACUCCUACGGGAGGCAGCAGUGGGGAAUAUUGCACAAUGGGCGGAAGCCUGAUGCAGCAACGCCGCGUGCGGGAUGACGGCCUUCGGGUUGUAAACCGCUUUCGCCUGUGACGAAGCGUGAGUGACGGUAAUGGGUAAAGAAGCACCGGCUAACUACGUGCCAGCAGCCGCGGUGAUACGUAGGGUGCGAGCGUUGUCCGGAUUUAUUGGGCGUAAAGGGCUCGUAGGUGGUUGAUCGCGUCGGAAGUGUAAUCUUGGGGCUUAACCCUGAGCGUGCUUUCGAUACGGGUUGACUUGAGGAAGGUAGGGGAGAAUGGAAUUCCUGGUGGAGCGGUGGAAUGCGCAGAUAUCAGGAGGAACACCAGUGGCGAAGGCGGUUCUCUGGGCCUUUCCUGACGCUGAGGAGCGAAAGCGUGGGGAGCGAACAGGCUUAGAUACCCUGGUAGUCCACGCUGUAAACGGUGGGUACUAGGUGUGGGGUCCAUUCCACGGGUUCCGUGCCGUAGCUAACGCUUUAAGUACCCCGCCUGGGGAGUACGGCCGCAAGGCUAAAACUCAAAGGAAUUGACGGGGCCCCGCACAAGCGGCGGAGCAUGCGGAUUAAUUCGAUGCAACGCGUAGAACCUUACCUGGGUUUGACAUGGAUCGGAAGCGCUCAGAGAUGGGUGUGCCUCUUUUGGGGUCGGUUCACAGGUGGUGCAUGGCUGUCGUCAGCUCGUGUCGUGAGAUGUUGGGUUAAGUCCCGCAACGAGCGCAACCCUUGUUCACUGUUGCCAGCACGUUAUGGUGGGGACUCAGUGGAGACCGCCGGGGUCAACUCGGAGGAAGGUGGGGAUGACGUCAAGUCAUCAUGCCCCUUAUGUCAGGGCUUCACGCAUGCUACAAUGGCUGGUACAGAGAGUGGCGAGCCUGUGAGGGUGAGCGAAUCUCGGAAAGCCGGUCUCAGUUCGGAUUGGGGUCUGCAACUCGACCUCAUGAAGUCGGAGUCGCUAGUAAUCGCAGAUCAGCAACGCUGCGGUGAAUACGUUCCCGGGGCU